AAUUCAAUUAAUGAAAAUUUAUCCCUUUUUUAAAAGCUGGCAAUAGGAAAGCCAUGUUACGAGCCUUAUGGACAUUGAAGUCAUUAAGGUCCCUGAAAAUGGCUGUAACA